rnacentral:sRNA from 1 species
GAGAAGGUCAAAAGCACAUACAGAAUUUGGCUUAAGAACAGAAAGUUAUUUCAGUUGUCCUUUGUUUUGUUCAUUUUCACUAGGACAAGCAGAGCGCCAAAAUGCCUUUGCUUUAUUUACAUUUAGAAUCAAAUCUAUCUGACUUUAGAGAAUCAGGUUGGGUAAUGGUCCUUUAUACACGUGUUGCUAUCUUAAAACUUUUUGCCCUUUUUUGAAAAAACAUGUUUUCUAGUUCCCACACUCACUGGGAAAUGGCCAACCAUCUCUGUAACUAUAUAAUGAAUUGUUUAUUCACAAAAUAUAAGGAACUGGCCUAUUCAUAAUAACAUUGUGUGUUGAUGCCAAGUAAAUGUAUGACCAGAAAUGUAAGAGUUGAGUUCUAUCCAGUAAAGAAUACCCAUAGAGUAGUAGCCUUGCCACCUUUUGAAGAACCAUAGAUCCAUGUUUAAAGCCCUAUCUCUCUGCAGCAUUUUUACUGUGGAUCUGUGUGUGUUUAUAUGUAGCCCCGCAGGCACUUUUUGCUGUGAUGACUUUUAAGUGGUUUCUAUUAAUAAAUGUAGUCCUAAGUACAAUAAUUGCUGUUCUGAAUGUGGGUGUGUCUUCUGCUAAAACACAAAAUGCCAACAAUCAAUUUCUCUACCCCAGAGCAGCCUCCGGGUGACACUCGGAGAAAAACCAAUGAUGCGAGCUCAGAGUCAAUAGCAUCCUUCUCUAAACAGGAGGUCAUGAGUAGCUUUCUGCCAGAGGGAGGGUGUUACGAGCUGCUCACUGUGAUAGGCAAAGGAUUUGAGGACCUGAUGACUGUGAAUCUAGCAAGGUACAAACCAACAGGAGAGUACGUGACUGUACGGAGGAUUAACCUAGAAGCUUGUUCCAAUGAGAUGGUAACAUUCUUGCAGGGCGAGCUGCAUGUCUCCAAACUCUUCAACCAUCCCAAUAUCAUGCCAUAUCGAGCCACUUUUAUUGCAGACAAUGAGCUGUGGGUUGUCACAUCAUUCAUGGCAUACGGUUCUGCAAAAGAUCUCAUCUGUACACACUUCAUGGAUGGCAUGAAUGAGCUGGCGAUUGCUUACAUCCUGCAGGGGGUGCUGAAGGCCCUCGACUACAUCCACCACAUGGGAUAUGUACACAGGAGUGUCAAAGCCAGCCACAUCCUGAUCUCUGUGGAUGGGAAGGUCUACCUGUCUGGUUUGCGCAGCAACCUCAGCAUGAUAAGCCACGGGCAGCGGCAGCGAGUGGUCCACGAUUUUCCCAAGUACAGUGUCAAGGUUCUGCCGUGGCUCAGCCCCGAGGUCCUCCA